UACGUAGGGUCCAAGCGUUAAUCGGAAUUACUGGGCGUAAAGCGUGCGCAGGCGGUUCUGAAAGUCAGCUGUGAAAGCCCCGGGCUUAACCUGGGAACUGCGGUUGAAACUACAGGACUAGAAUCUGGCAGAGGGGGGUGGAAUUCCACGUGUAGCAGUGAAAUGCGUAGAGAUGUGGAGGAACACCGAUGGCGAAGGCAGCCCCCUGGGCUGAGAUUGACGCUCAGGCACGAAAGCGUGGGGAGCAAACAGG
rnacentral:rRNA from 1 species